GAUGAACGCUGACAGAAUGCUUAACACAUGCAAGUCUUUGGCGAAGCUGUGCUUGCACAGCCUAGCCAAGGCGGACGGGUGAGUAACGCGUAAGGAACUUGCCCUGCAGUCAGGGAUAACAGACGGAAACGACUGAUAAGACCUGGUAAAGUCAGGCGGACUCAUGUCCAGCCUGAUGAAAAGAGAUGCUGCAGGAGAGCCUUGCGUCCUAUUAGCUUGUUGGUGGGGUAACGGCCCACCAAGGCGAUGAUAGGUAGCCGGCCUGAGAGGGUGGACGGCCACAAGGGGACUGAGAUACGGCCAUUACUCCUACGGGAGGCAGCAGUGGGGAAUAUUGGACAAUGGGGGCAACCCUGAUCCAGCAAUUCUGUGUGCACGAUGAAGGUUUUCGGAUUGUAAAGUGCUUUCAGCAGGGAAGAAAAAAAUGACGGUACCUGCAGAAGAAGCGACGGCUAAAUACGUG
rnacentral:rRNA from 1 species